AUGAGAAGAUGAUGAAACAUGAAUAAUCUUAGGACACCUUCUGACGCAGACCGACAAUGCUGCGUAUGAGAAAGAUUUUUCGUUUCUGAUUCAUCU